rnacentral:misc_RNA from 1 species
UUUCCGUAGGUGAACCUGCGGAAGGAUCAUUAUUGUAUAACCGAGGUGCGAGGGCUGUCGCUGACCCGAAACGUCGUGCACGCCCGAGUGCCCUCACACACAUCCAUCUCACCCCUAUGUGCACCACCGCGUGGGUCCCCCUUUGGCUUGUUCGGAGGGGGGCUUACGUUUUCACACAAACUUUGUAUGCAGUGUAGAAUGUAUUUUUUGUUUUUGCGAUCACGCAAUCAAUACAACUUUCAACAACGGAUCUCUUGGCUCUC